GACAGAGGGUGCAAACGUUGCUCGGAAUUACUGGGCGUAAAGCGCAUGUAGGCGGCUCUGUAAGUCGGAUGUGAAAGCCCUCGGCUUAACCGAGGAAGUGCAUUCGAUACUGCAGAACUAGAGUAUCGGAGAGGGUCGUGGAAUUCCUGGUGUAGAGGUGAAAUUCGUAGAUAUCAGGAGGAACACCGGCGGCGAAGGCGGCGACCUGGACGAAUACUGACGCUCAGAUGCGAAAGCGUGGGUAGCAAACAGG
rnacentral:rRNA from 1 species